rnacentral:tRNA from 1 species
AGCUUCAGUUGGUAAAGCAAAGACUGAAAU